CCAUCACACACUCCAUACACACACCUCACACAUCAUACACACUCCAUACACACACCUCACACACUCCAUACAUACACUCCAUACACACACCUAACACACUCCAUACACAUACUUCACACACUCCAUACACACACCAUACACACACCAUACACACAAUCCAUUACACACUCCAUACACACAAUCCAUACACACACACACCAUACACACUCCAUACACACACUCCAUACACACACCUCACACACUCCAUACAUACACUCCAUACUCACUCCAUACACAUACCAUACACACACCUAACACACUCCAUACACAUACUUCACACACUCCAUACACACACCAUACACACUCCAUACAUACACCAUACACACGCCAUACACACUCCAUACACACACUCCAUACACACACUCCAUCACACACUCCAUACACACACCUCACACAUCAUACACACUCCAUACACACACCUCACACACUCCAUAUACAUACCUCUCACACACUCCAUACACAGCUCACACACUCCAUACACAUACCUCUCACACUCUCCAUACACACACCAUACACACAUCUUGCACACACUUUACACUCUCCAUACACAAACUCCGUACACACGCCUCACACACACUUUGGCCUGUAAUUACAGAUUCAGGAAGUGCGCAGGGACAGUAAGAGGACGGAUUUGGAUUCCUGCGCUGGUCCAGACUUGGAGUGAAGCGUGUAAAUACCAGCAGUGGUGAUCAGGUUGCAGGCUUUGGCUGUCUGUGCAUGAAGGUCAGCAAGAGCCCCACACGAAUUUAUGGAGAUACUAGAGAUCCUGAUCCUUUCUGCCUCUGGAUGGAGCUCAAAUCUUCUUUAAUUCCAGACUGCUGGGACUACGGCUGCUCCUAACGCCAUACAGACUUCAUAUAAAUCCAUAAUGAACUUUUUCACACUAACUGUUGUUACCCAGAUGAGGACGGGUUCCCUUCUGAGUCGGGUUCCUCUCAAGGUUUCUUCCUCUUAAAACAUCUUAGGGAGUUUUUCCUUGCCACCGUCGCCACUCAGUGGCUCGCUCAGUUGGGAUAAAUUCGCACCUUUAAUAUCUGUACACCGUGUUGAUAUUUCUGUAAAGCUGCUUUGAGACAAUGUCUAUUGUAAAAAGCGCUAU
ensembl:lncRNA